AUUAUACGUAUAUAAAUAUCGAGACGGUAAGAAAAUUUCGACAAGUUAUAUGUACAUAAAUAUCGAGACGGUAAGAAAAUUUCGACAAAUUAUACCUAUAUAAAUAUCGAGACGCUAAGAAAGUUUCGACAAGUUAUAUAUAUACAUGUAAAUAUCGAGAAGAUCGAUCAGUGAAGCACGAGUUUUUGAAGGAGCGCGUGUUACACAGAGCACAGUAGCAAUCGUGGACACGCGUGGCCGUGAUGGCAGCCGGAAAGUUAACACGGGCGGUCGCGUCGAUCCUCGGAAUUAAUUAAAACCGUCGAGGCGAGGGGAACGUGUAUUUUUAUCUGCCCUCCGCUCCCGGUGACACGUCUAUCUUCAACUCGGUCUCUGCAUCGCAAAAAGAGGAAAUUGGAGGAGAGGGGGGGAGUAGAGGGCGCUACCGAAGCUACCGCAAUCUUUAUCUUCCCUGCCAAUCCCAAUAUAAGUCCGUUUAUGCGCAGCCCCAUACUGCGACUACCAUAAUGCCCCGCACGAGAGUUACCCGCGGAAUAGCAAUGAGACGCCGCCUCUCGGAGGAGAUUCGCGAUUCGAGGGAACACUCUGAAGCUGAAUCUUCUUACUUAUCUGGAUUCUAAAUCCGUCUUCCAAAUCCAUUCGCCGAGAAACAAAGGAACGAGAUGGCGCUGCGAGCGGUAAAGUAAUUCACGGUUCGUCACGAAAUAAAAUGUACUAUUAUUCGAAAUAAUUCGUGAAAUUAUAUUUUGGCUAUAUAUCCUGGUUGAACUCUUCGACGACAUUUUCAAAGGUAUUCAGUAAUUCGAAUAAUAAAUUGAAACUCAGUUUUAAUAUACAUCUUCCAAUGUAUAUAUAUGUAUAAC